AUUGAACGCUGGCGGCAGGCCUAACACAUGCAAGUCGAACGAGUGGCGGACGGGUGAGUAAUGUAUGGGAAACUGCCCGAUGGAGGGGGAUAACUACUGGAAACGGUAGCUAAUACCGCAUACCAUCGGAUGUGCCCAGAUGGGAUUAGCUAGUGGGAGGGGUAAUGGCUCACACAGGCGACGAUCCCUAGCUGGUCUGAGAGGAUGACCAGACACACUGGAACUGAGCACCGGUCCAGACUCCUACGGGAGGCAGCAUUGGGGAAUAUUGGACAAUGGGCGAAAGCCUGAUGCAGCCAUGCCGCGUGGAUGAGGAAGGCCUUCGGGUUGUAAAGUACUUUCAGCUGGGAGGCGUUACCAGCAGAAGAAGCACCGGCUAACUCCGUGCCAGCAGCCGCGGUAAUAC
rnacentral:rRNA from 1 species